rnacentral:rRNA from 1 species
GAUGAACGCUGGCGGCGUGCCUAAUACAUGCCAGUCGAGCGAACAGAUGAGGAGCUUGCUCCUCUGACGUUAGCGGCGGACGGGUGAGUAACACGUGGAUAACCUACCUAUAAGACUGGGAUAACUUCGGGAAACCGGAGCUAAUACCGGAUAAUAUAUUGAACCGCAUGGUUCAAUAGUGGAAGACGGUUUUGCUGUCACUUAUAGAUGGAUCCGCGCCGCAUUAGCUAGUUGGUAAGGUAACGGCUUACCAAGGCAACGAUGCGUAGCCGACCUGAGAGGGUGAUCGGCCACACUGGAACUGAGACACGGUCCAGACUCCUACGGGAGGCAGCAGUAGGGAAUCUUCCGCAAUGGGCGAAAGCCUGACGGAGCAACGCCGCGUGAGUGAUGAAGGUCUUCGGAUCGUAAAACUCUGUUAUUAGGGAAGAACAAAUGUGUAAGUAACUAUGCACGUCUUGACGGUACCUAAUCAGAAAGCCACGGCUAACUACGUG